rnacentral:misc_RNA from 1 species
UAAUCCGAGAAUUUCACCUCCAACGGCAGAGUACGGACGCCCCCGUCUGUCCCUCUUAAUCAUUACCUCGCGCUCCGAAAACCAACAAAAUAGAACCGAGGUCCUAUUCCAUUAUUCCAUGCAACACUAUUCAGGAUUCGAACCUGCUUUGAACACUCUAAUUUUUUCAAAGUAAACUUCUCGGCCACCGCCGACACUCAGUCAAGAGCACCGACGGAGAACCGAAGUCGAGGCGAGCGCAGCCAGUAACACGCCCUGCGACGGACCAGCUGCACCCGCCCAAAGUCCAACUACGAGCUUUUCAACCGCAACAAAUUUAGCAUAUACUGUUGGAGCUGGAAUUACCGC